GACGAACGCUGGCGGCGUGCUUAACACAUGCAAGUCGAACGGAAAGGCCUGCUUUCCCUUGUGGAUUGCGGGUACUCGAGUGGCGAACGGGUGAGUAACACGUGAGUGAUCUGCCCCCAACUUGGGUAUAAGCCUGGGAAACUGGGUCUAAUUCCCGAUAGGGCUGCAGGGUGGUGCCUGUGGUGGAAAACGAUUUUCUAGUGGUUGGGGAUGAGCUCGCGGCCUAUCAGCUUGUUGGUGGGGUAAUGGCCUACCAGGGCGGCGACGGGUAGCCGGCCUGAGAGGGUGGACGGCCCCAUUGGGACUGAGAUACGGCCCAGACUCCUACGGGAGGCAGCAGUGGGGAAUAUUGCACAAUGGGCGGAAGCCUGAUGCAGCGACGCCGCGUGGGGGAUGACGGCCUUCGGGUUGUAAACUCCUUUCGACCGCGAGGAAGCCACCUGGUUGGAAGGGUGGUGACGGUAGUGGUAGAAGAAGCACCGGCUAACUACGUG
rnacentral:rRNA from 1 species